rnacentral:lncRNA from 1 species
UACAGUCUCGUUCUUGCUUGUUUCUAGUUCGGGUGUCUUUUUUGGAUUAGGUUGCAGUGAUCGGAGGCGAGGAUUUAGUUUUGUGCAUUUCAUUGCGACGCUGUUUUUGGGUGGUGGUGUUCCUGGUUCUUUUUGGUGCACAUUUCACGACAACAUUGACUGAUUUCGAGCGUUUCUUGAUCGGUUUCGUUUUGGCUCCUGGUCUCAAUGGUUUUUUUCUCGUUCUCUUCUUGUCUUUUUUAAUCUUGUUUCGCUUGUUUUGGUUAUUAUCUUGUUUCCCUGUAAUCUUUUUCGUCUCUGUUCAAAGUUUCGUGUAAAUGAAGGGACUGUAUAAGGGAGUGUUUAAAGUUUGAUUUGGUUUUUAUUAUUUUAUCCUGUAGGUGUUAAGUUCUCUUUGGUUUCCUUUCUCUUUUUCAUAUUGUUUUGUAUUUUCCAGUCUCGUUGGUACCUUCUUGCUCGGUUCUCUUUUAGUUUGAUUCUGUUCUGUUUGUUUUUUAUGGAUUGUUGCUUUAUUUUAAUUUGCGUUUAAAAUUUUUUUUGCUUUGUUUGUUCUUAGCAAAUUCGUUUUUUUAAUCUUUUGCUCUAAAGGGUCUUGGUUUUGUUCUUACCCUCUUUACGUCUGGUCUGUUGGUUCGAGGUGGAUCAUUUUAUCUUGUCGGGGUGCAUUUGGAUUUUGGUUACUGUUGGGUGUUUUGUCUUUUGCUAAAGCUGUUGUAGAG